rnacentral:tRNA from 1 species
GAGCAAGAAACUAAAAGUAGUAUGGUUUCGGCCCAUAGUUAUGGUUACAUUUCGUACCCUUGUUCU